rnacentral:rRNA from 1 species
UGGGGAAUUUUGGACAAUGGGGGCAACCCUGAUCCAGCCAUGCCGCGUGAGUGAAGAAGGCCUUCGGGUUGUAAAGCUCUUUCGGCGGGGACGAAACGGUUCGUGACAACACCACGGACUAAUGACGGUACUCGCAGAAGAAGCACCGGCUAACUACGUGCCAGCAGCCGCGGUAAUACGUAGGGUGCAGGCGUUAAUCGGAAUUACUGGGCGUAAAGCGUGCGCAGGCGGCCUCUUAAGUCAGAUGUGAAAUCCCCGGGCUUAACCUGGGAACUGCGUUUGAAACUGGGAGGCUAGAGUGUGGAAGAGGGGGGUGGAAUUCCAGGUGUAGCAGUGAAAUGCGUAGAGAUCUGGAGGAACACCGAUGGCGAAGGCAGCCCCCUGGGCUGACACUGACGCUCAUGCACGAAAGCGUGGGGAGCAAACAGG